rnacentral:rRNA from 1 species
AUUGAACGCUGGCGGCAUGCCUAACACAUGCAAGUCGAGCGAGCGGCGGACUGGUGAGUAAUGUCUGGGAAACUGCCUGAUGGAGGGGGAUAACUACUGGAAACGGUAGCUAAUACCGCUUACCAUCGGAUGUGCCCAGAUGGGUUUAGCUAGUGGGUGGGGUAAAGGCUCACCUAGGCGACGAUCCCUAGCUGGUCUGAGAGGAUGACCAGCCAAACUGGAACUGAGACACGGCCCAGACUCCUACGGGAGGCAGCAGUAGGGAAUAUUGGGCAAUGGGCGCAAGCCUGAUCGAGCCAUGCCGCGUGAGUGAAGAAGGUCUUCGGGUUGUAAAGUACUUUCGGCAGGGAAGCGGUACCCGAAGAAAAAGCACCGGCUAACUCCGUGCCAGCAGCCGCGGUAAUAC